rnacentral:rRNA from 1 species
AACGAACGCUGGCGGCAGGCCUAACACAUGCAAGUCGAGCGAACCCUUCGGGGUUAGCGGCGGACGGGUUAGUAACGCGUGGGAAUAUACCCUUUGGUACGGAAUAGCCUCGGGAAACUGAGAGUAAUACCGUAUGUGCCCUUCGGGGGAAAGAUUUAUCGCCAAAGGAUUAGCCCGCGUUGGAUUAGAUAGUUGGUGGGGUAAUGGCCUACCAAGUCUACGAUCCAUAGCUGGUUUGAGAGGAUGAUCAGGCAACACUGGGACUGAGACACGGCCCAGACUCCUACGGGAGGCACGCAGUGGGGAAUCUUAGACAAUGGGCGCAAGCCUGAUCUAGCCAUGCCGCGUGGACGAUGAAGGCCUUAGGGUUGUAAAGUCCUUUCAGAUGGGAAGAUAAUGACGGUACCAUUCAGAAGAAGCCCCGGCUAAUCCGUGCCAGCAAGCCGCGGUAAAGUAGAC